AUGGCCCAUGGGCCUGGCGCUGACGGACCCUGGAGCGGUGUCUGAGGGAGGUGGGCAAAGCCACUGGCUGGCCCGAGUGCAUCCUCACCUGGAUUGGAACCAAAGUUCACUUCUUUAACGAAAGUGCUUUAUGACUUUAAUAAAACAGUAGAGAAUGGUAGAAUCCAUGGCAGCUCUUUACAAAAACUUGUGAUAGAAAGUUUUGAUGAUGAGCAGACUUUGCAACAACUGGAAUUGCAAAAUGAAGCAAUUUUACAGUGCUUCCAGAAUGCGGUUAGUGAAAGAAAGAUGAAGAUAUCAGUCUUCUCCCAGAGAGUGAAGAACAGGAGCAUGAAGAGGCUGGUUCAGAAACAGAGGCUGAUGGCCAGGAGGACCUAGAAGAUUUAGAGGAGGAGGAGGACGUGUCAGAUAUGGGUGGUGACAAUCCUGAAAUGGGUGAGAGAGCUAAAAACUCAAGCAAAUUCAGGAUGAAUGACAAAAAUUACAUCUUUAGAAAAAGAGUUGUUAGAAAAAAGCCUUGGCUGCAUGUGGGGGAAGUGACAGCACAGAAGAGACCAGAGAAGAGCCUCCUGGAGGAGAGCCUGCACUUUGACCAUGCUGUCCGGAUGGUGGCACCCGUGAUUACAGAGGAAACACCUUUCAACUGGAAGGUAUCAUUAAACAGAGGAUAAGAGAUCAGGUC
rnacentral:lncRNA from 10 species